ensembl:snRNA U6 U6 spliceosomal RNA
GUGCUCCCUUCAGCAACACAUAUACUAAAAUUGGAAAGACACAAAGAUUAGCAUGGUCCAUGUGCAAGGAUGACAUACAAAUUCGUGAAACGUGUCAUAUUUUU